AUAUUGCAGGGGAAAAACCAACAAGUCUGAAUUAAAGCAAACAAACCAAGUGGGCUAGGCAAGGUCUUCGGCAUGAGUGGAACCAGCUGAAGAAAUUGGGGCCCCAUCAGAACCUUCGGCACCUCUUUGUAAUAAAUGCCCUUGGCAAGCAAACGCCAUCAGGACAAGAACUACUUUCCAGUACCAUUGAAAGGAAAGCACUGGCAAGCGCGGUGGAAAUGUGAGCACGUAACGCCUGUUGGCUGCAUGUGAAUGAGUCUUGGAGUUUUGGAGACAGUUCCAAGAAAUACAAUACAUGUUUUACACAUGACAAAACAAGCGGUUGUAUUUCGUUUCUAACGAGUUGGAAGUGAAACUCACGGUUAUCAAAAAGUCAAAGUGCACUGAAACAAACCUGACAUCCGUGUAGAAUGUGACAGUCCAGAAAGGAAUCCAUGAAUGCUGCAAGGUACAGUGAUACUCACUGGAGAAGACGCACUCGUUUGGACGGGUGUGCUUACAGUUCUGGGAAUGUGCUCGAGACAAAGCAGUCCCUUUCGGGGGACCUGAAAGAAGAAGAGCAUUCUCUGGUUUUCUAUCAACAUGCCGAACUCAGCCGUGACAAUCCCUAACCAGAACCGCGAAUAUACGGUAAUCCCUAGUCUAGUGCCUGAUGUGGAGCAGCUGCCCAAUGCAUUUUAGUUUCUGCAAAUGAAAAACAAUGCAGAACAACACACAAAGGGGAAAACACCUUCUCUUCCAUUGCUAAGUAGAACGUAGCAGUGGUGGCAGAGGGUAGUAAGUGUAAUAAAGAAGGCUGUAGUAAAAGCCGUAAAAAUCACCGUUCUGGACAGCAUGAAAGAUGAGCUGUUGUUGCAUGGUUUUGGUCUUCUCUAUUUCCCUCAUGGCCAUGAAGAUCCAUGAAGACCUAACUUGCAACUUCCCAAACCAAAAUUAAGUGUAAGUUUCCCAGUCCUGUUUUCUACAGACAAAAGAAAUGGACUUGACACCUUGGUUCCUCGGAGAUGCUGCCUUAUUUUGACUUGUGGAAUUCCUUAAGGCCAUGUCCAAGUGUCCUGAAUGUCACACAUUUUUGUCAAGUGCAGAUUGAAUUAGAUGCUAUGAGUUUGAAUUCCAACAGUCUGAGUGCCAAUUUUUUUUUUAAAAUUCAGAUUUAAGAGAUGGCUGUUUUGUGCCUGGCUGAUGUCAGCCUGGGGCAUGACAGUGCUUUGUGCUGGGACGAUCAAACGUGACUGAAGAGAGUAGAGUCCUGGGAAAGUCAGUCCGGGUGAAAUCCCAGGAUGUUCAAGGGGUUUCUAGGCAGAGUAACCUUGUCUGCACAGAUUGGCUCAAAGCAGUCCGAAUCCCACUCCGACACAGUGUAAAGACCGUGUUCCCCUGCAAUUUAGUUUAAAAGUCACUUUUAAAUGAAACCUCGUGUAUCAAAGAAAACUCAGGAAUAGAGGGGACUGGUACACUGUAAUGUAUUCCUAAAGGGUGAGCAUAGAAAGAAAUGGCCCAUUUGUGUGGGUGGAAAACCAAUUACAAAUCCACUCAGAGUUCUUGGCGUUUUCCCCAGUUUGUAGCAAAAGUAACAUGACCCAAGAACAUAACAAAGAUGGCGGUAAUGGAGCCUGAGAGAUGGCCCUUGCUACUCUUCCAGAGGACGUGAGUUAGGUUCCUCUAUUGGGCAGAUCACAGCCACCUGUGUCUCCAAGUCUAGAUCUGCCACCCUCUUCUGGCCUGUGUGGCCUACACACAUGUUCACUCACACACACACACACACACACACACACACACGUACAUACACACAUACCCCAACCCUGUGACAUAUCUCCUCCAACGAGGUGACACCUGAUAAUGCUUUCCAAACAAUUCCACCAACUGGGGGGCCAAGCCUUCAAACAUAUGAGCCUAUGGGGACAAUUCUCAUUCAAACCAAUACACACCGACUCCAAAAGUAUUGUAGUUUACCUCUUAGCAUGCAAAAGUCUACUGUGUUUGUUACUUAACAGUCAGAGGUGCAUAUAUGCAUAGCAAGAAGUCAUUUUAAGAUCCGAUUUUGGCAUUAGGCUUGUGGUAAAAUUCUUUAAAACUGUAUGGAAUAUGGUUUUGAAUUUUAUUCAGUAGGAAAAUUAAGUGUUUCUAGCUCAAAAUAAUAAUGUUAAUGCAUAUAAAUUGUAUUUAUCAAUAUACCAUCCAUGACAUAA